rnacentral:rRNA from 1 species
GACCCGACUGCUAUUUGGGUGAGAAUAAGCCAUGCGAGUUGAAUGGGAUGCCAAAAUUUCCCAUAGCAGACUGCUCAGUAACACAUGAUCAACUUACCCUAUAGAGAAAAAUAACCUCGGGAAACUGAGGAUAAUGUUUCAUAAUUGAAUAGGCUUGGAAAAGUUAUUCAACGAAAGGGAUAUGAAAAAUGGUUCAUAUCUGCUAUAGGAUAGGAUCGUGGUCGAUUAUGGUUGUUGGUGAGGUAAUGGCUCACCAAGCCGAUAAUCGAUAGGGGCCGUGAGAGCGGAAGCCCCGAGAUGGGUACUGAGACAACGACCCAGGCCUUACGAGGCGCAGCAGGCGCGGAACCUCCGCAAUACACGAAAGUGUGACGGGGUUACCCAAAGUGUUCUAUUAAGAACUGUGGUAGGUGGGUAAUGUCCCCUACUAGAAAGGAGAGGGCAAGGCUGGUGCCAGCCGCCGCGGUAAAACCAGCUCUUCAAGUGGUCGGGAUAAUUAUUGGGCUUAAAGUGUCCGUAGCCGGUUUAGUAAGUUCCUGGUAAAAUCGGGUAGCUUAACUAUCUGUGUGCUAGGAAUACUGCUAUACUAGAGGGCGGGAGAGGUCUGAGGUACUACAGGGGUAGGGGUGAAAUCUUAUAAUCCUUGUAGGACCACCAGUGGCGAAGGCGUCAGACUGGAACGUGCCUGACGGUGANGGACGAAAGCCAGGGGAGCGAACCGGAUUAGAUAC